rnacentral:rRNA from 1 species
AUACGUAGGGGGCGAGCGUUGUCCGGAAUGAUUGGGCGUAAAGGGCGCGUAGGCGGCCGCUUAAGUCUGGAGUGAAAGUCCUGCUUUCAAGGUGGGAAUUGCUUUGGAUACUGCCGCGCUUGAGUGCAGGAGAGGUUAUCGGAAUUGCCGGUGUAGCGGUGAAAUGCGUAGAGAUCGGGAGGAACACCAGUGGCGAAGGCGACUUACUGGGCCGUAACUGACGCUGAGGCGCGAAAGCGUGGGGAGCGAACAGGAUUAGAUACCCUGGUAGUCCACGCGGUAAACGAUGAAUGCUAGGUGUUGCGGGUAUCGACCCCUGCAGUGCCGGAGUAAACACAAUAAGCAUUCCGCCUGGGGAGUACGGCCGCAAGGUUGAAACUCAAAUGAAUUGGCGGGG